rnacentral:sRNA from 14 species
GGCACUGGUAAUGGCUACUCCUGGUUUUACCAAGGAUGGGGUUCGAUUCCCUGCGGUGCC